rnacentral:tRNA from 1 species
GCUGGGAUGGCGGAGCUAGGUUAAAGCCCUUUUCUCUUACAAGAGAAAAAGGUGUGAUUAAACGCGCCAGCUUGGAGAGCUGGUGCCCGCAAGGGCGCGCAGGUUCAAAUCCUGCUCCCAGCG